UUUCUGCCACCGAAUACAUUAGCAUGGGAUAAUGGAAUAGGACCCUGUCCUCCUAUUUUCAGUUGGUUUUGGCAGCGCGAGGACUAGGGUAAUGAUUAAUAGGGAUAGUUGGGGGCAUUAAUAUUUAAUUGUCAGAGGUGAAAUUCUUGGAUUUAUGAAAGAUUAACUUCUGCGAAAGCAUCUGCCAAGGAUGUUUUCAUUAAUCAAGAACGAAAGUUAGGGGAUCGAAGACGAUCAGAUACCGUCGUAGUCUUAACCAUAAACGAUGCCGACCAGCGAUUAGGAGACGUUGAAUACAAAACACCACCAUCGGCGCGGUCGCCCUUGGCGCGUUCGUGUUCACGCACGGG
rnacentral:rRNA from 2 species